rnacentral:lncRNA from 1 species
AGAAAACACGGAGAGGAGUCCCAGGGCUGAGCCCAGACCUCUGAACAGAAGAAGGAGUCAUGGAGAAACCCAGAAGAAUGAGGUGUCACAGGCAAAGAAAAAUUGGAUGCUCCGGAAGGAGAGAGGUCUGUCUCACGAAGAGAGAUAAAAGCAGCUGGGACCACAUAGAGAUUUUGUGAAGCUGUCCCAUUCAAAGCCACCCCCAGAGGCCCGGAGGAGACCACAAAGCUGCGAACACAGCCGGGACCUGCCCACUGACACACUGAAGAGUCAACACGAUUCAGGAAAGCACUUUCAAAGAGUGUUUUAUCUUGGACAGAUAAUAUUCCGUUUUGUUUCUGAGAGGCAAUGACAAUCUCUAGUUCGAUUGUAAAACUAUUUCCUUCAAAUAUACAUUUUUAUCUAUG